rnacentral:lncRNA from 1 species
CCCUUCUCAGUGCCCUUCAUCUCCCACUCGUCGCCCUCUUCCUGCCACCAAAACCGAUCUGCUCGCGUUCCAGAACAGCGGCAUCUCUACAUCGCUGGGAACGCACCCUCCGCUGGCCUAUCGCACCCUCUUUCCGUCGCCCUCCAAACUCUCCCCUCGCCUCAAUCCUUGCGAUCUGCGCUUUCCAUCUCCGGACGGAACUCCAACCUUGCACCUGCGUUUUCUCCCCCAGACACCUCGCGCAUGCAACCUAGAAGGCGGUCGGCGUUCCUGUUCUUGUACCCAGAACUGGCCCAUCUCCAAGAAGCUCGCCACGAGUCAUCCU